rnacentral:tRNA from 1 species
GCCCCUGUAGCUCAGACGGAUAGAGCAGCGGUUUCCUAAACCGCGUGUCGCGAGUUCGAAUCCCGCCAGGGGCACCA